UCCCAUAUAGUCUAUCGGCUAGGAUAUCUCGCUUUCAUAGAGCACCGAGAAGAGCCGGGUUCGACUCCCGGUGUGGGAA